rnacentral:misc_RNA from 1 species
UUUUGCUUAUUUUUUGUUCUUCAGACUUGACAAUUGUAAAGAGUUUUGGUAAAAACCUCUGACGGGCGCUCGCCAGCCGGAGCCAGCGGGGCGAACGAGUCGCCACGGCCCGCCAAAGCAACAGGGUAGUUAAACAUGGGUGGGAGGUUGGGCCCAGAGGACCCGAACUCGGUAAUGAUCCUUCCGCAGGUUCACCUAAAACGACAGUUAGCACGACAAGUCUACACGGUCCAGGCGGAUGUGGAGAUCGAUUUACUUACCUACGGAAA